AUGAAAGCCUAUGUCGCACAAGCUAUAAAAACUUCUUCAGAGAAUAGGCAUCAUGCAGUUACCAUUGAAAAGACUCUGCUGGAGGUAUCUGAAGCAGAGAAGGAGCUCAAGUGGCUUCGGUCCGCUGUUGGAUCUUCUGAGAAAGAAUAUGAGCAAAACCAGAAAAAAAUAGCUGAGCUCAGAACGGAGUUGGAGCGUGAGAGAAGCGAGAAGAGAAAGCUCGAGGAAGAAUACGAGGAGGUGAAGAAUGAGGUCAUGAAGCUGACCUCCGAGAACGAAGAAGCUACUAUCCAGAAGCUCCAGGACGAGAUAAAAGACUGCAAGGCUAUUCUCAAGUGUGGCGUGUGCUUUGACCGGCCCAAAGAGGUUGUGAUCGCCAAAUGCUUCCAUCUGUUCUGCUCAACAUGUAUCCAGAGGAACCUCGAGCUACGCCACCGGAAGUGCCCGGGCUGCGGCACCCCUUUUGGGCAAAACGAUGUGCGAGAGGUGAAGAUCUGA
rnacentral:rRNA from 1 species